CCUGGGGACUUGGCUGACCCCAAGCAGCACUGAUUCAGUAGUAUGCUGACUCUGAGAAUGUUAGAUGUUGCAUGAAAAAGGGCUGCAAGAAGCAGCCAGAGGGCUGAAGCUGUGCAGUUUGGAGAAGGGGACAGGGUAGUCACCCUCUCCCACCCCCAGGCUGGGUGAACCAGCAGUGGCCUGGGUGACCACAGAGGGCAGAACUAGGACCAGUGGUAGAAAAGUCAUAGGAAGCAGAUUUCAAUCCUAAUUAUGACAGACUUUUUCCAUUUUUGAGCAACUGAGCCUCAUGAGCUCCCUGUCUUUGGAGGUAUUCCAGCAGAGACUAGCUGAUCACUUACAAAGAAUGUUGGAGACAGAAUUGAUGCAUCUAGUGAGGCUGUGGAGUGACUAGAUGAUUUCUGCAAUUCCUUUUAGCCUGGUGACCCUGUACCUGAUAUGGGACCAGACAGGACAGCCGCUGAGCCUUUCUUUUUCUUCUAUUCCACCUCACUCCUCCCCCUCCGUGGACUCUUCCAAGUGUUGGAACCUCAGGAUGAAAUGUUCUAGUCCUGGCCAGGCGCGGUGGCUCACGCCUGUAAUCCCAGCACUUUGGGAGGCCAAGGCAGGUGGAUCACCUGAGGUCAGGAAUUCGAGACCAACCUGGCCAACAUGGUGAAACCCCAUCUCUACUAAAAAUAUAAAAAUUAGCUGAGAAUGGUGGCAGGCGCCUGUAACCCCAGAUACACCGGAGGCUGAGAUACGAGAAUCACUUGAACCCAGGAGGUGGAGGCUGCAGUGAGCUGAGAUCGGCACUCCAGCCUGGGCGACAGAGAGAGACUCUGUCUCAAAAAGAAGAAAAGAAAAAAAUGUUCUAGUCCUUUCCUUAGCCCCAGCCUACUCUCUUGGGGGCCCUUGUAUUCCCACUUUGUGCCCACUGCUCUACUCCCGUGUGCCCUGUGCCCUUUCUCUGUCUGUUUGUGGCUCUCACUCUCCACUCCCGGGGACCCUGCACUUCCUCUGGCCUACCUGGCUCCCCCAGCACAGUGCUUUGCCUGUGAGGUAUAGCAACCUGAAUGCUAAGUAUGUUUUCAUGUCUUCUCUUCAAUUAUGAACUGUCAACGUGUGUCUGACUUUUGCUUGAAUUGCUUAUACAGUAGGUUCUCAAUAAAUAACCAA
rnacentral:lncRNA from 1 species